ACAGGGCUUAUUGGCACAGGGAAGGACUAGUUGGUGGUCAGCUCUCCUUGGAGCAAGUCUGACUGAAAAGGCUGGAAGCACUUGCGGAGGAAAUCAAAUAGAACCUUGCAAUUACUUGAACUGUGCACCAUCUGCUGCAACAUAUAUCUGCAUAACACCUUCAGCAGACGUCAGAGGAGCUAGAGGAAUAGGCUAAGGUAAGCCAUGGGGGAAAUGAUGCCUUGGAGACAAAAUGGUUCUGAAGAUCAACCCUGACAGAGAUGAACAAAGUGACAGACCCACAGGCAACUCUGAAGUCAGCAGCUCUACUGCCUGUGAAGUCUGCCAAGAAGCAUAACAUGCCCAGGUCUUUCCAGGUUUUUCAACACUAUAAUCACUUUGGGUCCAACAGAAGAGUAUCUACAGUGAAUUAAUUCUAUUUUUUUUUUCUUUUUUUUUUUUCAUCCAUUUCAAGUCUCCUCCAAUUCAAAAUAAUACUAACAUCAUUCCAGUUUAUCUUUGUCUUGGCCACCAUACAGAUGCCCAAGAAAUAUAUAUUGAUUCUACUUUUCAUAUAUAAAAACCACCAUAUGAUGAUUUUAGAAAUGUCUAACUACCUUGUAGUUGGAGCUAUUCCUGGGGAGAAAAAGACACACAUUUUAUAUAUAUAUAUACACACAAACACACACACUUCCCUUAAUGGGGUACAAAUAUAUACUUACAUACUUAAAAAUUAGGCAUCUGCCAAAAUAGUAGAAGGAUCAGAGUCAUAGCUGACUUGCAGAUGUGGGAACAAAUAAAGAAUAGGAACAGUAUUCAUGGUUAAGAUAGGUUGGAUGUUCUUACCUAGGGGAAAGUAAAAGACAAGAUUGCUAUAUAUCAUUUGGGAUGAAUUUUGAGCUUUUUACAUACCUAAAAAUAAAAACAGAUGUACAAAAUCCUAUUUGUAUAACAAAGCUCAAUUUUGAAAUGGCUACUGUCUGCAAAUGUGAUGAUCCUUUAAGCUCUAUCUUUAAGAGGACUGAAGGAUUCUGAGC